rnacentral:rRNA from 1 species
GUUUGAUCCUGGCUCAGGACGAACGCUGGCGGCGUGCCUAAUACAUGCAAGUCGAGCGGACAGAUGGGAGCUUGCUCCCUGAUGUUAGCGGCGGACGGGUGAGUAACACGUGGGUAACCUGCCUGUAAGACUGGGAUAACUCCGGGAAACCGGGGCUAAUACCGGAUGGUUGUUUGAACCGCAUGGUUCAAACAUAAAAGGUGGCUUCGGCUACCACUUACAGAUGGACCCGCGGCGCAUUAGCUAGUUGGUGAGGUAACGGCUCACCAAGGCAACGAUGCGUAGCCGACCUGAGAGGGUGAUCGGCCACACUGGGACUGAGACACGGCCCAGACUCCUACGGGAGGCAGCAGUAGGGAAUCUUCCGCAAUGGACGAAAGUCUGACGGAGCAACGCCGCGUGAGUGAUGAAGGUUUUCGGAUCGUAAAGCUCUGUUGUUAGGGAAGAACAAGUACCGUUCGAAUAGGGCGGUACCUUGACGGUACCUAACCAGAAAGCCACGGCUAACUACGUGCCAGCAGCCGCGGUAAUACGUAGGUGGCAAGCGUUGUCCGGAAUUAUUGGGCGUAAAGGGCUCGCAGGCGGUUUCUUAAGUCUGAUGUGAAAGCCCCCGGCUCAACCGGGGAGGGUCAUUGGAAACUGGGGAACUUGAGUGCAGAAGAGGAGAGUGGAAUUCCACGUGUAGCGGUGAAAUGCGUAGAGAUGUGGAGGAACACCAGUGGCGAAGGCGACUCUCUGGUCUGUAACUGACGCUGAGGAGCGAAAGCGUGGGGAGCGAACAGGAUUAGAUACCCUGGUAGUCCACGCCGUAAACGAUGAGUGCUAAGUGUUAGGGGGUUUCCGCCCCUUAGUGCUGCAGCUAACGCAUUAAGCACUCCGCCUGGGGAGUACGGUCGCAAGACUGAAACUCAAAGGAAUUGACGGGGGCCCGCACAAGCGGUGGAGCAUGUGGUUUAAUUCGAAGCAACGCGAAGAACCUUACCAGGUCUUGACAUCCUCUGACAAUCCUAGAGAUAGGACGUCCCCUUCGGGGGCAGAGUGACAGGUGGUGCAUGGUUGUCGUCAGCUCGUGUCGUGAGAUGUUGGGUUAAGUCCCGCAACGAGCGCAACCCUUGAUCUUAGUUGCCAGCAUUCAGUUGGGCACUCUAAGGUGACUGCCGGUGACAAACCGGAGGAAGGUGGGGAUGACGUCAAAUCAUCAUGCCCCUUAUGACCUGGGCUACACACGUGCUACAAUGGACAGAACAAAGGGCAGCGAAACCGCGAGGUUAAGCCAAUCCCACACAUCUGUUCUCAGUUCGGAUCACAGUCUGCAACUCGACUGCGUGAAGCUGGAAUCGCUAGCAAACGCGCAACAGCAUGACGCAAGGA